rnacentral:tRNA from 1 species
GGCCUCGUCGUUUAUGGGUUAGGAUUGAUCUCUUUCACAGAUCGGGAGCGGGUUCGAGUCCCGCCGAGGCUACCA